rnacentral:rRNA from 1 species
AUGGCCGGAGUUGAUACGCUCAGACGUGGGUAUAUUUGGAGAGUUGGUGAUGGUGAGAAAAUUAGCAUAUGGGAUGAUCCCUGGAUACCUCAUAGCCCAACAAGAAAGGUGAUUUCACCAAGGGGUAACAAUCUUCUUUCUAAAGUUUCUGACCUCAUUGAUCUAGUGACAGGGAGUUGGGAUGAGCAGCUGAUUAACCAAACGUUCUGGCAAGUGGAUGUUCGAAGGAUUUUGUCCAUUCCACUACCAUUACAUGAGAUGACAGAUUUCCUGGCAUGGAACAUGACAAAGUCAGGUACUUUCACAGUGUGAUCUACAUACCGUACAGAAUGGGAAUUUCAAUUUGGGCACAAGUUGGAAUCAACGGCUGGAGCUUCAAACCCAUCUUAUACAUGGGACUCGGUAUGGAACUUAGUCUGCCCAGCAAAGAUAAAAAUAUUUAUAUGGCGCGCGCUUCAGAGUGCUAUUCCCUGUCGAUCUAUCCUGGCUAAUAAGCACUUGAAAAUAAAUCCGAGUUGCCCAGCCUGUAACCAGGGGCCUGAUGACAUAAGACAUAUGUUGUUCGAAUGCAAAUUGGCAAUGGACGUGUGGAAGAUGCUCGGUCUUGAGCUUGUUAUCAAACAUGCAUUGAAAGUUGACAAGGCAGGUGAGCUUGUGUUGGCACAUCUUCUGUGCCUUCUAGAACAACAAAUCCAAGUAUUGGGCUUGCCGAAGUUCAGAGAAAUGAUGGGAACGACGGCUUGGUAUUUGUGGUAUGAAAGGCGAAAAUUGACACAUGACGAAGAAACUCAAAGCGCAUAUCAAAUCAAUAUGUCAGUGAGAGGCUUAGUAGCAAAUUAUACCAUCUCUUACAUCCCAAAGGCUCACGUCCGUUCAGAUGCUUGGUUGAAACCAAAGUAUGGUUACGUGAAAUUAAAUGUUGACGCGGGAUUUGAUAGUGACACACUAGCAGCAACAUUUGGAGCAGUUAUCCGGGACCAUAGGGGGAAAUUUAUAGCGGCUGCUAAUGAAAAGAUGGACAUUUGCUUCGACUCGUUCACAGCAGAAGCAAUUGCAGUGAGGUUUGGUUUGAAUCUUGCUAAUACCGUCAGAUGUAGUAAGAUUGAAGUGAAUUCGGAUAGCAAGGAGAUGGUGAAUGCAUUGAGCCAAGGCUACUCUUCUUCAGUCGCUUCAUCCAUUAUAGACGACUGUUAUUUCAUGUCAUUAGGUUUUUCCCAUGUCAUUUAUGAUCAUUGUAAUAGGGAACAUAAUCGAGUAGCUCAUGAACUAGCUGAAGGAAAUAUGCCCUAG